UAGGGAAUCUUCGGCAAUGGACGAAAGUCUGAUCGAGCAACGUCGCGCGAGUGAAGAAGGUUUUCGGAUCGUAAAACUCUGUUGUUAGAGAAGAACAAGGACGUUAGUAACUGAACGUCCCCUGACGGUAUCUAACCAGAAAGCCACGGCUAACUACGUGCCAGCAGCCGCGGUAAUACGUAGGUGGCAAGCGUUGUCCGGAUUUAUUGGGCGUAAAGCGAGCGCAGGCGGUUUCUUAAGUCUGAUGUGAAAGCCCCCGGCUCAACCGGGGAGGGUCAUUGGAAACUGGGAGACUUGAGUGCAGAAGAGGAGAGUGGAAUUCCAUGUGUAGCGGUGAAAUGCGUAGAUAUAUGGAGGAACACCAGUGGCGAAGGCGGCUCUCUGGUCUGUAACUGACGCUGAGGCUCGAAAGCGUGGGGAGCAAACAGG
rnacentral:rRNA from 1 species